GGUGGUCCUCGGUAGUGGCCGCCGGAGUCCGCGACAGCAUUCUGUCGACGGUGUAUCCGGCGGCUUCGAUCGAUGACCGCA
rfam:Tsukamurella paurometabola DSM 20162, complete genome.